rnacentral:rRNA from 1 species
AUUGAACGCUGGCGGCAGGCUUAACACAUGCAAGUCGAGCGGGGUGAUGGUGCUUGCACUAUCACUUAGCGGCGGACGGGUGAGUAAUGCUUAGGAAUCUGCCUAUUAGUGGGGGACAACAUCUCGAAAGGGAUGCUAAUACCGCAUACGUCCUACGGGAGAAAGCAGGGGAUCACUUGUGACCUUGCGCUAAUAGAUGAGCCUAAGUCGGAUUAGCUAGUUGGUGGGGUAAAGGCCUACCAAGGCGACGAUCUGUAGCGGGUCUGAGAGGAUGAUCCGCCACACUGGGACUGAGACACGGCCCAGACUCCUACGGGAGGCAGCAGUGGGAAAUAUUGGACAAUGGGGGGAAUCCUGAUCCAGCCAUGCCGCGUGUGUGAAGAAGGCCUUAUGGUUGUAAAGCACUUUAAGCGAGGAGAAGGCUCUUUUGGUUAAUACCCAAGAUGAGUGGACGUUACUCGCAGAAUAAGCACCGGCUAACUCUGUGCCAGCCGCCGCGGUAA